rnacentral:rRNA from 1 species
AGGGGAGUGAAAAAGAACCUGAAACCGUGUACGUACAAGCAGUGGGAGCACGCUUAGGCGUGUGACUGCGUACCUUUUGUAUAAUGGGUCAGCGACUUAUAUUCUGUAGCAAGGUUAACCGAAUAGGGGAGCCGAAGGGAAACCGAGUCUUAACUGGGCGUUAAGUUGCAGGGUAUAGACCCGAAACCCGGUGAUCUAGCCAUGGGCAGGUUGAAGGUUGGGUAACACUAACUGGAGGACCGAACCGACUAAUGUUGAAAAAUUAGCGGAUGACUUGUGGCUGGGGGUGAAAGGCCAAUCAAACCGGGAGAUAGCUGGUUCUCCCCGAAAGCUAUUUAGGUAGCGCCUCGUGAAUUCAUCUCCGGGGGUAGAGCACUGUUUCGGCAAGGGGGUCAUCCCGACUUACCAACCCGAUGCAAACUGCGAAUACCGGAGAAUGUUAUCACGGGAGACACACGGCGGGUGCUAACGUCCGUCGUGAAGAGGGAAACAACCCAGACCGCCAGCUAAGGUCCCAAAGUCAUGGUUAAGUGGGAAACGAUGUGGGAAGGCCCAGACAGCCAGGAUGUUGGCUUAGAAGCAGCCAUCAUUUAAAGAAAGCGUAAUAGCUCACUGGUCGAGUCGGCCUGCGCGGAAGAUGUAACGGGGCUAAACCAUGCACCGAAGCUGCGGCAGCGACGCUGAUGCGUUGUUGGGUAGGGGAGCGUUCUGUAAGCCUGUGAAGGUGUGCUGUGAGGCAUGCUGGAGGUAUCAGAAGUGCGAAUGCUGACAUAAGUAACGAUAAAGCGGGUGAAAAGCCCGCUCGCCGGAAGACCAAGGGUUCCUGUCCAACGUUAAUCGGGGCAGGGUGAGUCGACCCCUAAGGCGAGGCCGAAAGGCGUAGUCGAUGGGAAACAGGUUAAUAUUCCUGUACUUGGUGUUACUGCGAAGGGGGGACGGAGAAGGCUAUGUUGGCCGGGCGACGGUUGUCCCGGUUUAAGCGUGUAGGCUGGUUUUCCAGGCAAAUCCGGAAAAUCAAGGCUGAGGCGUGAUGACGAGGCACUACGGUGCUGAAGCAACAAAUGCCCUGCUUCCAGGAAAAGCCUCUAAGCAUCAGGUAACAUCAAAUCGUACCCCAAACCGACACAGGUGGUCAGGUAGAGAAUACCAAGGCGCUUGAGAGAACUCGGGUGAAGGAACUAGGCAAAAUGGUGCCGUAACUUCGGGAGAAGGCACGCUGAUAUGUAGGUGAAGUCCCUCGCGGAUGGAGCUGAAAUCAGUCGAAGAUACCAGCUGGCUGCAACUGUUUAUUAAAAACACAGCACUGUGCAAACACGAAAGUGGACGUAUACGGUGUGACGCCUGCCCGGUGCCGGAAGGUUAAUUGAUGGGGUCAGCGCAAGCGAAGCUCUUGAUCGAAGCCCCGGUAAACGGCGGCCGUAACUAUAACGGUCCUAAGGUAGCGAAAUUCCUUGUCGGGUAAGUUCCGACCUGCACGAAUGGCGUAAUGAUGGCCAGGCUGUCUCCACCCGAGACUCAGUGAAAUUGAACUCGCUGUGAAGAUGCAGUGUACCCGCGGCAAGACGGAAAGACCCCGUGAACCUUUACUAUAGCUUGACACUGAACAUUGAGCCUUGAUGUGUAGGAUAGGUGGGAGGCUUUGAAGUGUGGACGCCAGUCUGCAUGGAGCCGGCCUUGAAAUACCACCCUUUAAUGUUUGAUGUUCUAACGUUGACCCGUGAUCCGGGUUGCGGACAGUGUCUGGUGGGUAGUUUGACUGGGGCGGUCUCCUCCUAAAGAGUAACGGAGGAGCACGAAGGUUGGCUAAUCCUGGUCGGACAUCAGGAGGUUAGUGCAAUGGCAUAAGCCAGCUUGACUGCGAGCGUGACGGCGCGAGCAGGUGCGAAAGCAGGUCAUAGUGAUCCGGUGGUUCUGAAUGGAAGGGCCAUCGCUCAACGGAUAAAAGGUACUCCGGGGAUAACAGGCUGAUACCGCCCAAGAGUUCAUAUCGACGGCGGUGUUUGGCACCUCGAUGUCGGCUCAUCACAUCCUGGGGCUGAAGUAGGUCCCAAGGGUAUGGCUGUUCGCCAUUUAAAGUGGUACGCGAGCUGGGUUUAGAACGUCGUGAGACAGUUCGGUCCCUAU